rnacentral:rRNA from 1 species
AUUGAACGCCGGCGGCAGGCCUAACACAUGCAAGUCGAGCGGAUGAAGGGAGCUUGCUCCUGGAUUCAGCGGCGGACGGGUGAGUAAUGCCUAGGAAUCUGCCUGGUAGUGGGGGAUAACGUCCGGAAACGGGCGCUAAUACCGCAUACGUCCUGAGGGAGAAAGUGGGGGAUCUUCGGACCUCACGCUAUCAGAUGAGCCUAGGUCGGAUUAGCUAGUUGGUGGGGUAAAGGCCUACCAAGGCGACGAUCCGUAACUGGUCUGAGAGGAUGAUCAGUCACACUGGAACUGAGACACGGUCCAGACUCCUACGGGAGGCAGCAGUGGGGAAUAUUGGACAAUGGGCGAAAGCCUGAUCCAGCCAUGCCGCGUGUGUGAAGAGGGUCUUCGGAUUGUAAAGCACUUUAAGUUGGGAGGAAGGGCAGUAAGUUAAUACCUUGCUGUUUUGACGUUACCAACAGAAUAAGCACCGGCUAACUUCGUG